GCUUCUAGAAUAGUGCAUGGGAGGCCUAUUGUGAGCCAAGUAAAUUAUGCAUGGCUAAGAGUGGUUUGUGAGAGAUAUUUGGUAAAAUAUCAUGCCAAAGGGCCCCCACCUCUUCCUCAUCCUCUUCCCCAAGCUGCCGUGGAUUACUUCUCCUCUCUCUCCCUCUCACUUCGUGCGAGACUCUCUCCAUUUCGCACGCAACAGCAACCCAGGAGCCAGCGGAAGACGAAGACCAGCUGCUGCCCAUCUACCGAAUUCCCCUCAUCCUCGCCACUUGUCCAUCAACCAGCAUCUCUCGGUCAACACCUGCAAGAACGAAGCCGUUGGUUGACCGUUUGAAGCCACUCCUCCGUCCGCCAGCGAAGCCAUCUCACUUGCAGCUCGCCUUGCUCCACUUUCAUUCGGUCCACUGCAGCAUCUCCACCCUGCAGCAACGUCUCUCGAAGAUCCAGCGCAUGCCAGCUGCUCCUCCAGUCAACUUCUUCUCCACCGAGAUCCCUGCAAGCUGCCAAGCGUCUUCCACUUCUCCGGUCAAAUUUUCCUUAAAUUUUCCUGCCGUUGAAACCCACCGAAAUCCCACCAUCGUUCCUCUCUCUUCUGCCACGAAUCAAACCCCACCGAGAUUCCAUCCUGUUGACUACAGAAGCCUCAUCAUCCGAAGACCAAAGCGGUUCGUCCGCUUCUUCCACGCAGGCCACGAAGUUCUGCCCAGUAGCGACAAAACGCUGCAGCUUCUUGGUCAGAUUGUUGACUGCAAUUUCCACGCUUGAUUUCCCACGACGCUACCUGGCCCAACGUCUGCGAGCAGCUUCGUCUUCGCUGCUUCGUGCGUCUCCAGCCACGCCAUCCAGAGAAGCCAAGAUCUUCGCAGCAUCAAUUGAAGCCGCGCGCCAGCGAAGCCCAGUCCACCGAUCCUUCAGGCAAUUUCCAGCCCAGCAUCAAUUGGAUUGGAAGCCCAGUAAUUUCAGUCUUUUGGGCCCAGCAAAGACAGGCCCAAUUCAGUUUUAUUUCAAGCCCAUUUUCAGCAAUUGUAGUCUUCAAGCCCCGUUUUUGAAGCCCAAUCGCAGCCAGGCCCAAGUCCAAGAGCAAGCCCAUUCCAGUGCAAGAACAAAUCUCAAUUGGGCUGAGAUUUGUUGGGCCAAGUUCAAGGCCCGGUCCAGGUCCGCCGAUAUUGUCGAGAGUUCGAAUUCGGCUGCCGUCGCGUCGCCGUUGUGGUGAUUCGAUCCCCGCUUUUGAUCAAGUGAGUUUUACUCACUAAUGCUUUAUUAGUUUGCUAAUUAUGCUUAAGGUUGGUUAGAUUUAAUUACAUGCACAUAGGUGGUUAGAUUAGGUUAGAACAAUUAGUUUAGUGACUUAAUGAUGCAUGUUAGGUGGUUAGACCUAGCUAUUAGCAAGUAGAAAUGUUUGGUUAUUUAUUGAAUGUAUCUCGGGAUUUUUCCCGACCCGUUUCGGGCUCCAAUAAGGCAAUAUGAGCCUAAAUUGGAUUUUCAAUGUUUAUUUAUUUAUUUUCGAAAUUCAUUUAUUUAAUUAAUUAUUUUUCCGGAAAUUCAACCGGGAUGGCCGGUGACCGGAAUUUCGUGCUGAUUGUCGUGGUGAAGCUCGUUUAUUCAUUUGAGCUCUACGUUGUGUGGAAUUGAAUUAAUUGUGAAAUUUGAGGAUUUAUCCUUAAAUGUUUGUUAUUGAGUAUUUGAUUGGUAAUGGCCGAGCAUGAGUAUAUAGCGCCAGUACGUUGAUGGGCUAUAUAGUAAGGAGAAUGGUGAGACCAAUCAGGUACGAUAUGAUUGGACAUACGUGGUUCGGUGAUUGGAAGUAUCACUGGCGAAAACGGCGCCUUAAAGAACGCACGUGAAUGACUUAUAGACAAACGUGGUUCGGUGAUUAUGGGAAUAUCACUGGUGAAAACGGCGCCUUAAAGAACGCACGAUGUUGUCUAUAGCCGAUGUCACCUUGGCGAAAACGGCGCCCUUGAAAGGACACGUGGUUCGGUGAUCAAGUUAUCACUGGUGAAAACGGCGCCUUAAAGAACGCACGGUGUCGGUGAUCGGUAUGUCAUUGGCGAAAACNNNNNNNNNNNNNNNNNNNNNNNNNNNNNNNNNNNNNNNNNNNNNNNNNNNNNNNNNNNNNNNNNNNNNNNNNNNNNNNNNNNNNNNNNNNNNNNNNNNNCCACUGAGAAAGCGUGGUAUGAGUGGGAAUGACCUAGAGAUGGUCAGAUUGACAUGUAAUCGACUAAGUCGAUUGAUCAAUGCUUGAUCGGAUGUCGUGAAUUGUUUGAAUGUAUGUGUUUAACCUUGAAUUGCAGGUUGGAACUGAGGCUAAGGUAAGUCCUCUGACUCGUGUUGUGCUUAGGCAACCGGAUGGUGUAUUAGUUUACUAAUCGAGUCGUAGGGGGUAGGACUCGCUGAGACGUGGUCUCAUUGGUUAUUGAAUAACCAUUUCAGGACCCUGAGGAAAAGCUGAGGAGGAAGAACCUGAAGGGGAGAAAGUAUUUUGAAGUAGAAGAUGAUCCAGAGAGGGAUCUUGAAUAUGACCCGGAUGUGGACUGAGAUCCCAUCCCUUUUGUAAAUCCUGUCUUAGCAGAGAUAGGUGUGAGACAAGUAUGUUGUGAAUAGUAUUGUAAUUAUACUAUGAGUUGUGUUGUUAAUGAAAGUGUG
rnacentral:lncRNA from 1 species